rnacentral:rRNA from 1 species
GACGAACGCUGGCGGCAUGCCUAACACAUGCAAGUCGAACGAGACCUUCGGGUUUAGUGGCGCACGGGUGCGUAACGCGUGGGAACCUGCACGUAGGUUCGGAAUAACUCACUGUAAGGGGUGUUAAUGCCGGUUAAUGUCUUCGGACCAAAGAUUUAUUGCCGUGGGAUGGGGCCGGGUUGGUUUAGCUAGUUGGUAGGGUACACGCCUGCCAAGGCGACGAUGCAUGGCUGGUCGGAGAGGAUGACCAGCUCCACUUGGACUGAGGCACGGCCCAGACUCCUACGGAGGGCAGCAGUAGGGAAUAUUGGACAAUGGGCGAAAGCCUGAUCCAGCAAUGCCGCGUGAGUGAUCAAGGCCUUAGGGUUGUAAAGCUCUUUUACCCGGGAUGAUAAUGACAGUACCGGGAGAAUAAGCACCGGCUAACUCCGUG